rnacentral:snoRNA from 11 species
GUGCUUCAGGGAUGAACAAGUCCCUGAUAUGUAAUCUUAUCCAUCUAUUUCACUUUGUCAGCAAUCUAUUUUGUAUUUUGCUGAUCAUUUGCGGAUGGAACAUCC